rnacentral:rRNA from 1 species
AUUGAACGCUGGCGGCAGGCCUAACACAUGCAAGUCGAGCGGAUGAAGGGAGCUUGCUCCUGGAUUCAGCGGCGGACGGGUGAGUAAUGACUAGGAAUCUGCCUGGUAGUGGGGGAUAACGUCCGGAAACGGGCGCUAAUACCUCAUACGUCCUGAGGGAGAAAGUGGGGGAUCUUCGGACCUCACGCUAUCAGAUGAGCCUAGGUCGGAUUAGCUAGUUGGUGGGGUAAAGGCCUACCAAGGCGACGAUCCGUAACUGGUCUGAGAGGAUGAUCAGUCACACUGGAACUGAGACACGGUCCAGACUCCUACGGGAGGCAGCAGUGGGGAAUAUUCGACAAUGGGCGAAAGCCUGAUCCAGCCAUGCCGCGUGUGUGAAGAAGGUCUUCGGAUUGUAAAGCACUUUAAGUUGGGAAGAAGGGAAGUAAGUUAAUACCUUGCCGUUUUGACGUUACCAACAGAAUAAGCACCGGCUAACUUCGCG